GCCCCCGUAGCUCAGAGGAUAGAGCAGCGGUUUCCUAAACCGUGUGCCGCAGGUUCGAAUCCUGCCGGGGGUA
rnacentral:tRNA from 1 species